UUGACCUCGGAUCAGGUAGGGAUACCCGCUGAACUUAAGCAUAUCAAUAAGCGGAGGAAAAGAAACCAACAGGGAUUGCCUCAGUAACGGCAG
rnacentral:rRNA from 1 species